GGUAGGAUGGCCGAGUUUUAGGUGGUGGAUUGUAACCCCACGCACAGAGGUUCAAAUCCUCUUCUUACCA
rnacentral:tRNA from 1 species